AUGAACGCUAGCUACAGGCUUAACACAUGCAAGUCGAGGGGCAGCAUGGUCUUAGCUUGCUAAGGCCGAUGGCGACCGGCGCACGGGUGAGUAACACGUAUCCAACCUGCCGUCUACUCUUGGACAGCCUUCUGAAAGGAAGAUUAAUACAAGAUGGCAUCAUGAGUCCGCAUGUUCACAUGAUUAAAGAAUUUCGGUCAUCGAUGGGGAUGCGUUCCAUUAGGUUGUUGGCGGGUAACGGCCCACCAAGCCUUCGAUGGAUAGGGGUUCUGAGAGGAAGGUCCCCCACAUUGGAACUGAGACACGGUCCAAACUCCUACGGGAGGCAGCAGUGAGGAAUAUUGGUCAAUGGACGAGAGUCUGAACCAGCCAAGUAGCGUGCAGGAUGACGGCCCUAUGGGUUGUAAACUGCUUUUAUAAGGGAAUAAAGUGAGUCUCGUGAGACUUUUUGCAUGUACCUUAUGAAUAAGGACCGGCUAAUUCCGUG
rnacentral:rRNA from 1 species